rnacentral:snRNA from 1 species
AUACCUUUCUCGGCCUUUUGGCUAAGAUCAAUUGUAAUAUACUAGUAUCUGUUCUUAUCAGUAUAAUAUCAGAGGAAAAAUAUCUCUUACACAGUCCUACACAACAUUU